CUAAGAAUAUUCCGCAAUGCACGCAACUAAGAAGGAGCGAGGAAGAGUGAAGGACGAAGGCCGACAGGUUGUAAAGUUCUUUUGCUAGGGGAGAAUACGUGAGGGAGGGAAUGCCCUCAUGACGACCAGGACUAGCGACUCAGCCCCGGCCAACUACGUGCCAGCAGCCGCGGUCACACGUAGGGAGCGAGCGUUGUUCGGAAUUACUGGGCGUAAAGGGCAUGUAGGCGGCUUGGUAAGCCUGGCGUGAAAGACUGCAGCGUAACUGUAGGGAUGCGUUGGGAACUGCUUAGCUUGAGUUACGGAGAGGGAGCUGGAAUUCCUGGUGUAGGGGUGAAAUCUGUAGAUAUCAGGAAGAAUUCCGAUGGCGAAGGCAAGCUUCUGGUCGAUAACUGACGCUGAGGUGCGAAAGUGUGGGGAUCAAACA
rnacentral:rRNA from 1 species